UCGCCUGUUUAUCAAAAACAUGUCUGUGUGAAUUUAAUAUUCAGUCUGACCUGCCCACUGAAUUUUUAAAGGGCUGCGGUAAUUUGACCGUGCAGAGGUAGCAUAAUCAAUAGUCUUUUAAUUGAAGGCUUGAAUGAAUGGUUUGAUGGAAGAAAAUCUGUCUCUUUAAUUAGAUUGAAUUUAACGUUUGUGUGAAAAGGCAUCAAUGAUUUAGAGUGACCAUAAGACCCUGUAAAACUUUACACGUUUAUAUUAUUUGAUUAAAUUGUUGUGUUAAUCAUCAAAUGGUGUUUUGCUGAGGUGGCAGGAAUAUAAUACUAACUGUUUUAAAUAUAAAAUAUUUAUUAAUAGAGAAUGGUCCUUUAUUUAAGAGGUAAGAGUAAGUUACUUUAGGGAUAACAGCAUAAUUUCUUUUGAGAGUUCGUAUCGAAGAAGAUAGUUGUGACCUCAGUGUUGAAUUAAACUGUCCUUUAGGUGUAG
rnacentral:rRNA from 1 species